AAGUAUGUGGUGCAGUAGUUUGAGCAUCACACUGUGACUCUGGAGACCAGAGUUCAAAUCCCUGCUUGGCUA